rnacentral:snoRNA from 1 species
UCGUCAGGUGGGAUAAUCCUUACCUGUUUCUCCAUAUGGAGAACAGAUUAGAAAAUGAUGAUUGGAGUUUGCAUGAUGCGUGAUUAUACGUCUCUGCGUAAUCAGGACUUGCAACACCCUGAUUGCUCCUAUCUGAU